rnacentral:rRNA from 1 species
UACGAAGGGGGCUAGCGUUGCUCGGAAUCACUGGGCGUAAAGCGCACGUAGGCGGAUCUUUAAGUCAGGGGUGAAAUCCCGGAGCUCAACUCCGGAACUGCCUUUGAUACUGGGGAUCUUGGAGUCCGGGAGAGGUGAGUGGAACUGCGAGUGUAGAGGUGAAAUUCGUAGAUAUUCGCAAGAACACCAGUGGCGAAGGCGGCUCACUGGUCCGGUACUGACGCUGAGGUGCGAAAGCGUGGGGAGCAAACAGG